rnacentral:rRNA from 1 species
GAUGAACGCUGGCGGCGUGCUUAACACAUGCAAGUCGAACGAUGAACCGGGUGCUUGCACUCGGGGAUUAGUGGCGAACGGGUGAGUAACACGUGAGCAACCUGCCCCUGACUCUGGGAUAAGCGCUGGAAACGGCGUCUAUACUGGAUAUGUCCCGUCACCGCAUGGUGUGCGGGUGGAAAGAUUUUUCGGUUGGGGAUGGGCUCGCGGCCUAUCAGCUUGUUGGUGAGGUAAUGGCUCACCAAGGCGUCGACGGGUAGCCGGCCUGAGAGGGUGACCGGCCACACUGGGACUGAGACACGGCCCAGACUCCUACGGGAGGCAGCAGUGGGGAAUAUUGCACAAUGGGCGGAAGCCUGAUGCAGCAACGCCGCGUGAGGGAUGACGGCCUUCGGGUUGUAAACCUCUUUUAGCAGUGAAGGAGCGAGAGUGACGGUACCUGCAGAAAAAGCACCGGCUAACUACGUGCCAGCCGCCGCGGUAA